GUUAUUAUAUCGAAUCAAAAGACUCAUUUUUGUUAUUUACAACCUUUUGAAUCAAAGUGCUCCAACUUUUAGGUGCCUUAUUGACUCAGAAUAUUCUAUUGUCUACUAUAUUCAUUUCCCAGAACCAAACUUUGAACCUACCGAUUGUUUACUGUGUUAGAUUUCCAACCAAUUAUUGUUUUGCUUUAUAUGGUGGACUUGGUCCCAAUUACUUGUUGAAAUGUAACGUAGCCAUCCAUUUCCAAGACCCAUUAGAAUGCAACUUAAUUUUUUGUAGAAUUUAUAGUCUUGUUUUUCCCCACAAACAAGGCUUGUUUAUGUAU
rnacentral:misc_RNA from 1 species